AAAAAGUAUAGGCUGCCUUCAUAUAGGUCCGAUAAUAUGGUUCGGAUGUUUCUACUAAGUUACCACAGUAAUAACUUAUCUAUGAUGGCG
rnacentral:ncRNA from 1 species